rnacentral:sRNA from 1 species
AUGGACCACGCGUCCACUGCGGUUCUGAGCGCGCCGUCCGCGCCCACCUGACAGCU